rnacentral:rRNA from 1 species
AUGGAGGUGGCCGGCGCGCUGGCCUCCGUCCUCUUCGCCGCCUUCUCGCUCCCCUGCCUCCUCCUGCUCGUCGUCGUGGCCGAGGCCGGCCUCCGCCUCGCCGCGCUCGCGCUCCGCGGCGAGGCGUUCGCGUGGCCGUCGCGCUCCGCCUUCCUCGGCUACCGCAUCGCGCGGGCCGGCAGCUUCUCCUCCGCCGCCACGGCCGUCGGCGGCGGCGUCUUCCAGCAGGAGGAGCUACUGCCGCCCGAGUACCUGGAUCUCCUCGCCGUCGCAGUGUACCGCCGCGGUGGAGACAAGUGGGCGGCCGUGGACUGCGUGUUCUGCCUGUCGCGGAUCGACGACGGCGAGGAGGUGCGCGAGCUCCGGUGCCGUCACAUCUUCCACCGCGAGUGCCUCGACUCGUGGCUCCUCUGCCCGCGCGCCACGUGCCCGCUCUGCCGCGACCGCCUCCUCCCCUGCGAGCCUCCCCGCGCCUGCGCACGCGCCCUCGACGACGACGAAAUCUACGUCGACGAGCACGAAGACCCGCCCUCCACCUCCUCCUCGUCCUACUCCCAUGACGCCGCGCUGUGGCACAUGUAA